rnacentral:tRNA from 1 species
GCGGUCUUGGCCGAGUGGUUCAGCGAUGGACUAGAAAUCUAUUGGGGUCUCCCCGCACAGGUUCGGAUCCUGUUGACUGCG